rnacentral:rRNA from 1 species
CACGUAGGGGGCGAGCGUUGUCCGGAAUCAUUGGGCGUAAAGAGCUCGUAGGCGGCUCAGUAAGUCGGGUGUGAAACCCCCAGGCUCAACCUGGGGACGCCACCCGAUACUGCUGUGGCUAGAGUCCAGUAGGGGAGUGUGGAAUUCCCGGUGUAGCGGUGAAAUGCGUAGAGAUCAGGAGGAACACCGGUGGCGAAGGCGGCCUUCUGGGUCGACCCUGACGCUGAGGCGCGAAAGCGUGGGGAGCGAACGGG